rnacentral:rRNA from 1 species
AUUGAACGCUGGCGGCAGGCCUAACACAUGCAAGUCGAACGGUAACAGGAAGCAGCUUGCUGCUUUGCUGACGAGUGGCGGACGGGUGAGUAAUGUCUGGGAAACUGCCUGAUGGAGGGGGAUAACUACUGGAAACGGUAGCUAAUACCGCAUAACGUCGCAAGACCAAAGAGGGGGACCUUAGGGCCUCUUGCCAUCGGAUGUGCCCAGAUGGGAUUAGCUAGUAGGUGGGGUAACGGCUCGCCUAGGCGACGAUCCCUAGCUGGUCUGAGAGGAUGACCAGCCACACUGGAACUGAGACACGGUCCAGACUCCUACGGGAGGCAGCAGUGGGGAAUAUUGCACAAUGGGCGCAAGCCUGAUGCAGCCAUGCCGCGUGUAUGAAGAAGGCCUUCGGGUUGUAAAGUACUUUCAGCGGGGAGGAAGGGAGUAAAGUUAAUACCUUUGCUCAUUGACGUUACCCGCAGAAGAAGCACCGGCUAACUCCGUG